rnacentral:lncRNA from 1 species
CCUGCCUGGUAUUUGACAUUUUUUUUUAUCACGAAUUUAUUUUAUUCAGUAAACACAAAAUUUACUUUUGAGUUAAUUCCCUUUGAACGAUAUUAAAAUAUAAUAGCCUUCCGGUUUUUCGUUGCAUGACGUCAUGGCAACUUUACAGGUGAUUUUAUGCAGGUAAAAAGAAUAUAAAGUAAACAUUACAAGAUGAAAAACUUAUUUAUCCUAUCCAUAACAAAAUGCGAUUGACCAAAGACUUAGAAAAUUAACAUUACGUGCAAUAUACUUGGGAAACACCACCAGGUGAGAGAAAACAAAACCCUGUGACGUCACCCGGUUUAGAACUUCGACAGGUUUUCUCUAUGUGAAUGGGUGUGCCGAAUGUGUAACUCUUGUUCAAUGAAAAUGUGAAAAAGAAUUAAGGUUAAUUACUCCAACUCUUAAUUAAACGUGAAAUAUAGAUUAAUCGGUAAGUUGAAAUUAACAUAAAACACGUGUCUAAUCAACAGGUAAAGGAUGCUGUUUUAAUUUAUUGUCAUAUUUGACAGGUGAGUCGGCCAUGACAUGCAUACAUGUAUUGAUCAGUUCUGAAAUAGUGUGUGGAAAAAAAUGUUUACAAACAAACAUAAUAAGAUAAACUAUUGAUUUUUUUUUUAUACAUAAUUAUGUGUCCAUUCAACCAAUAAAAUAUGGAAAAAGACUGCUAUUGUUUGGCACAAAAUCCUCUCAAUGAACAGUGUUUUAAAAAAAAUUGCUGUUCUUCAUCUAAAAGUCACAGUGAAGAAUCCAUUAUAGAGAUAAGUUGACACCUCCAAGCAAGUUCAAGAGAUGAAGAGAAUUCCCCAGAAAAGGAUCUAACAGUUUAUUUGAAGAUUUAUGGGCAUCAAUAUAUAAUCAUCCAUCACAUAUUGAAUUUAUUGCAUAUGCAUUUGUGGAACCACUAGGUGAAUAUUUUUUCCCCCAGUAUAUAAUUUUUCAACAGCUAACUUACACUAGUACUUUGUAAUAGGACAAUCUAGAACUCAGUCAAGUAACAGCAAGUAAAAGAGCUAUAGUAAAGUUUUCUUAUAGCACAAUUGGGGGAAAAAUAUAACUGUUAUUUUUUUUACUGACUAUCUGAACAACCUACCACAGAGUAGGUUAACUGUCAAAAGGUAACUAAUUUAUGAAAUCCGGAGUUAAAAGGUGUUAGUAUACAAUGGAGCAUAAAAUUGAGAAUGGAAAUGGGGAUUGUCAAAGAUUGCCAUUAUAUAUGGAAUAUUGAAAUUGGUGGAAGAAAUUAGUUCCCAUUUGAGUUGCAAAAUUUUUAAUCUCUUAUUCUGUCUAGUCUCUACACCAAUUUUAAGACAUUUUAUACCUGGAAAUUUCAGACCGCAUUUCACACGUCCCACUCUAAUAACUUCCAUAAAUUGUUAAAUAUAAUACUUCCAUGGUUAAACUGAAAUUUGUUUUCAUUUUUGGAAACAUCAAGGGUUAAUAGACUUUGCAUUCCAGAUAAUUUAAUGUCAAAGGGCUGGCAACAAACCUUUCUGCAGUUCACUGACAUGAUAAUUUUGAUAUGUCAAAGUAAGUAAGUACAUGUAAGUAAAACUUUAUUUGGAUUUGGCAUAUUGACAAAGAGUACAAACAUAAGCUUUAAUGAGCUUUUCACCGAAUAUAAAGGGCUGACAACAAGCCUUUCUGCAGACUGCAGUUCACUGACAUGACUUACCCCGGUAAUCUGAUUUUUAGCCUUCAUCAGCUUUUCAUUUUAUCUUCACAUCAGUACAUGGCAUAUCCUGAGCUCCUGACACAUCUGUUUAUCUGCCUUUUGUAUGAAAAAAUUGAACAAACACUUUUUGUUGAUUAUUGAGCUGUGUUCAUUUGUUAUGGUCAUGUAAAGAUUUAUCAUGAGUAUCAACAAAACAAAUUGUACAAGGGAGAUAAUUUCAAAAAAAUCAUUAGGGUAUAAAUGAUAGCUUAUCAUAAAUUUUAAAUUUGCUGAACCCAUUUUCCUCAAAUUGAAGGUUAGUAUAUGAUUAAAGUGCCCCCACCAAAAAACAACAUGAUAUUAUUACAUAUUGAUGUGCUACGAUAAUAUGUAAAUAAAGAGAAGAAAAAAAAAGUUAACAACCAUAUUUUAAAACUGAAAACAGAAAGCAUUGUUCAUUUGGAUUUAAUUGCCAUUUGAAUUGAAAGAGUUCUCAAAAGAUUCACUUUAAAAAUAUCCCUCUUUUUAGCUCACCUGGCCCGAAGGGCCAAGUAAGCACUUCUCAUCACUUUGCGUCCGUUGUCGUCCAGCGUCGUCUGUUAACUUUUACAAAAAUCUUCUCCUGAAACUACUUGGUCAAAUUUAACUAAACUUGGCCACAAUCAUCAUUGAGGUAUCUAAGUUAAAAAAUGUGUCCGGUGACCCAGCCAACCAACCAAGAUGGCCACCAUGGUUAAAAAUAGAACAUAGGGGUAAAAUGUAGAUUUGGCUUAUAUCUCUGAAACCAAAGCAUUUAGAGCAAAUCUGACAUGGGGUAAAAUUGUUUAUCAGGUCAAGAAUCUAUCUGCCCUAAAUUUUCAGAUGAAUUGGACAACCCGUUUGGUUGCUGCCCCUGAAUUGGUAAUUUUAAGGAAAUUUUGCUGUUUUUGGUUAUUAUCUUGAAAAAUAUUAUUAUAGAUAUAGGAUAAACUGAAACAGCAAUAAUGUUCAGCAAAGUAAGAUUUACAAAUAAGUCACAUGACCGAAAUGGUCAGUUGACCCUUAGGAGUAUUGCCCUUUUAAGUCAUUUUUAACCAUUUUUAAAUCUUAGUAAUCUUUUACAAAAAUCUUCUCCUCAAACUACUAGGCCAAAUUAAUCCAAACUUGGCCACAAUCAUCUUUGGGGUAUUUAGUUUAAAAAAUGUGUCUGGUGACCCAGCCAUCCAAUCAAGAUGGCCGCCGCGGCUAAAAAUAGAACAUAGGGGUAAAAUGCAGUUUUUGGCUUAUACCUCAAAAUCAAAGCGUUUAGAGCAAAUCUGACGGAGUUAAAUUGUUUAUCAGGUCAAGAUCUAUCUGCCCUGAAAUUUUCAGAUGAAUCAGACAACCCGUUAUUAGGCUGCUGCCCCUGAAUUGGUAAUUUUAAGGAAAUUUUGCCCUUUUUUGUUAUCAUCUUGAAUAUUAUUAUAUAGAGAGAUAAACUGUAAACAGCAAAAAUGUAUAGCAAAUUAAGACCUAAAAAUAAGUCAGCAUGACCAAAAUGGUCAAUUGACCCCCUAUUAAAGGAGUUAUUGUCCUUUAUAGUCAAUUUUUAACAAUUUUCAUAAAAUUUGUAAAUUUUUAAUAACAUUUUCCACUGAAACUCCGGGCCAAGUUCAUUUAGAUAGAAUAAUUGUAAGCAGCAAGAAUGUUAGUACAAACACAUCACCAUCAAAAACACAAUUUUGUCAUGAGUCCAUCUGCGUCCUUUGUUUAAUAUUCACAUAGACCAAGCUGAGCGACACAGGCUCUUUAGAGCCUCUAGUUUAAGGGCUGUAACAAAUUACACAUAUAUACUUGUACAUGCACAUAUAUAUAUUUGAUAUACAGCCAAUUGGAAUAUAUGAAGCUACUUGGUGUAGUCCUUUUUGAUGAACCAAUGGCAUACCUGACUUCAUGUACAUGUGUAUGUUCUGUCCUUGUUAUGCCUGUCAAAUUGUCACAGAAUUAACACACAUUAUGCUUUACUGUUGUCCAUCAGUUUAUCAAAGCAGUCCAAGCACAUCUAGUGAUUUUCUUAAAGUUGGCUUUUGUAAGGACAAAUCCCAUAAAUAUUUCUUCAUAAAUCUCUACUGAAAUGCAAUGAAAUAAGUAACUAGAUAUUUGAGCUAACUUGGUUAAAGAAAUCAUAUUAUACAUGUACAUCAUCAUUUUCAUAGUUCUACUGUUGUCAAUUGUGUCUGAUGAUUCUAAUAAUUGAAAUAUAAAUAUGAAUAAAUUCUUUAAAACUUUUAAAAAUUAUUUUUGUUUUUAAGAUAAAAUAAGACAAUAAAUUUUGUAAGUAUGUGUGAUAAGGAUAUAUAUGAAGUAUGUCACAAUGUACAUGCAUAUCUGCUUUUCAUUGUUGAUAUUCAGAUAACCUUCAACCUCUACAUUUUAAGGUGGUGUAGAAAAAUUCUAAUCUUUUUUCAUUACUUCCUCAAUCUUAGGUAUACAACCAGUUCAAUGUACAUCAAUCAAUAUUGAUUUUUAUUUGAAAAAAAAAGAUUAUAUAUGAGUGUUUGAAAUAUAGUGUACAUGUAGUUUGGAUGAGUGUUAAGAAUUUUAGGCGGAAGGUAAAUCAAUUUAUUUCAGUUUAAGUGUGUAGAUCAAGGAUAUAUCACCAUUAUGCCCCACAUAUCCUUUUAUUCAUAUUCAGGUUUAUUGUAAUUUAAGACAUGUUUUUAUUUCUUGUGUACAUUUCAUAGGAUGAUAGUUUGUUCACCUUGGUAUGGGGAAUUGGGAUGAACUUUAACCUUUGCUUAGUCAUUUUAAAGCUGUUAAAGUCCUGUAGGAUUUUUUACGAUUAAUUUAAUUAUGAAGCCUUAAAAAAAUCAAGCCAAUCAUAUCAUUUGUAGAUAUUUGUAUACAAAUCAGGGGCAUACCCAAUGUGGCACAAGUCUCCUUAUAUCAGUGGCAUACCCAAUGUGGCACAAGUCUCCUUAUAUCAGUGGCAUACCCAAUGUGGCACAAGUCUCCUUAUAUCAGUGGCAUACCCAAUGUGGCACAAGUCUCCUUAUAUCAGUGGCAUACCUAAUGUGGCACAAGUCUCCUUAUUGUCAUGGAUUUGUUUUUUUGACUGCUGAGUGAGUGAGUGAGGAACAGUUGCCUAUGGCUUCUUUGUUGCCACCUUUUUUUAAAUCGUUUAUCUGCCACUGUAUAUUAGCUGACAAGAACCUUAUAAACAAAUAACUUGUCUUAGAAGUACAAGACAGUACCAUUUGUUUAAAUGGAUCAUCAUAUAUAGUAAAACUUGAAUUGUCAGGUUACCUAGUAUAAGUUUAUUCAUCAAGCUUCAGGAAGAAAUAGCACAACAGUUUUGUAUCGUUAGUUGGGAUUAGAUGAAAGAUAAAUAUUACAAUUAUGCAACUUGGUUUCACAUGAUGAAUAAUGCAAAUUCUUGAUUUUCCGGGUUUGGACCUCAUUCAGUUUGCCUAUAUUUUUCUUAUACAUAUGGGUAUAAUUUAGACAGAUACAUUGAUAUAGAUCUCCAAUAUUAUACCCCAGAUCCACAAAUAUUUCUAUCUUCUUCCUGAUGGCCAACUUUCUCAAUUUGAUUCUCACAAUAUUAAAUAUAUAUUUUUAGAUUGUUGUUAAUUUAAGGCCUUAAAAGUUAAAGAUGUACUAAAUGUUUGUACACCUGGUUUACAGAUACGUGAUAAGAAUGUUUUAAUCAGUCUAGUAUCAUCCUUCAGGGGAGACAAAUCAUCAUCGUAAUACAUGUAAUAUAUCACAGAACAUAAAAACAAUUUAAAAAAAUUAAAAUUUAUGUGAUGCAUCAUUUAUAUGUACAUGUUGUCCAAUUUAUUAUGAAUCAAAUAAUUUGAAAAAUUAUGAAACUACUUAUUAAAGAACGCAAAAGAUGUUAAUUGCAAAUGUUGUAUUUACAUAAUGACUAAUUGAUAACUUGAAUUUAAAAAAGUUGUAAGAGGGUCACCUACUACAUUCUGUAUUGUAAAAUGAUUAUCUGAUGUAAAAGUAGAAAAUAUUAUCUAAUGUAAAAGUUUACACAAGGGGUGUAUCAAUACAUCUAACAAAAUUUUUUGAUAGUCAAUGUUAUAAACAGCUUUUUUAGAAUCUAUGGCAAUUAAGAACAUGUGUUAUGUGUUAUGGGCUUUGCUCAUUUUUGAAGACUGUAUGGUGACCUAACUUUGUUAAUUUCUGUGUCAUAUGGUCACUUGUGCACAGUUGUCUCAUUGCAGUCAUACCACAUCUUUCUUACAUGUAUAUGACAGAUAUUGUAAAGACAUUUGUCUUUGGUUGAAGAAUUUUAAUGUUGACUUCAAAAUGUCUUUCUGUUUUUAUGUCAUUGGGUUGUUGUCUCGUUGACAAAUGCCACACAUUUUUAUUUUAUUCAUAAAUUAUAAAAAUAUGUGAAUAUAAAGUUUCAAAAUAUCAGCUGUACACUCAGAUCAUAUGAGAUUUGCUGCAUUGAAGAUGGGUUUUCAAAUUUAAUCUUUUUUUCAAAAUUGACCUCUGCUAAUUUCAUGAUGAUAGUAAUACACUAUAACUUACUCGAAUGAAUUUGUUUGCCACUUCAACAGUCAUGUAACAUGUAUUUUUUUAAGAUAGGCCUUUUACUAGAAAAAAAAUCAUACCUCACAAUUUCUGCACAUGUAUGUAUUUUUAGUAACAUUUCAUAAAUAUGGAAUUUAAUGUUUAUCAGUUAAAAAAAACUCUAUCAUUCAGAUUAUAGAGGUCUUUAGUUUUGAAAAAAAGUCCUAUUGACUUAGUCACAUUUUGAACGCCUACAGUAUACAUUGUACACUGUACUAACAAAUGGUCAUAAACUUGUAUGUAAGUUUUUCAAAUAUCAAUUACUUAUUGAUCACCUAUUUAUAACAAGUCUACCCUUGAUCACACCUGAGAACACAGGUAAAAUUAUUUACACCCUUUCUCAUGACUCAUUAGGCUUAAAACAACAAUAAUUGUAAUUGAUAGGAGUAAAUGUGUAUCAAUUUAAGGCUAAUAUUCCUAUGCAUGUAAGCUAUUUACAAAAUACUACAAUAGAACUUUGAUUUCGUUAACAAAAACUUGCAAGUGACCAUCAAAGUUGUUUCUUAAAAUGUCAGUGAAAUUUUAUUAGGGUUUCAGAGUCAAUUUCAAUUACAGAGACUUGGAAAUUUGUUUGAAAACAAAAUAAUGUUCUCCUGGAAGGGGACAAUAGUUGAUAAAAUGGAUUGUUAAAAUUAUUUAACCAUUGUUAAGACAUUAAAUCAGAAGACGUUUUCGGGAAAUAAAUGACAAUAUGAUAUGAUGAUAGCAACCCUGAUUUUUUUGUAAUAAAAAUAUUUGUACUUCAGUGUGUUAAAAUUAAGGUAAUCUGUUAUGUUAAAAAGAUUAUAGACAAGUGCCUAAGCAUUAUCUAAUAAGUGUACAACCAUGUGUAAAUAUUUGUACAAUCUAACCAGCUCAGUUCCUACACUAUAAAACUUCUAGAUGAUCUUAUUUCCACACCAAAUUUGUAAAUAAAAAAAAACAGUAUUAAGGGACCCUUACAGCCCAACCUACAAUAACCACUGACGCAGGCAGGACCAUGAACAUAGAGCAGAGUUAAAAAUAAUUUUGUGAGUUGCUAAUUUUGUCUUAUUAACAUUUUUUGCAGAAGAAAUAAAGUUGAAAAUGUAAAUUAAAAAUAAAUCUAGAAAAAAAGACAACAAAAGUCAAAAACAGGGGUUCCUAUUUCAAUGGCUUAAAUAUUAGAAAAAACAGAUACAAUAUCAGGAAAAGUAAGCCUAUGUGCGUAGUUUGGUUCAGACAUGACAGGAUCAGUAAAUUUUAUUUUACUCACAACUGAUAAAUAUAAAGUUUAAAUGCUUUUUUGAACUUAUUUGGACUUUUAUUUGUGUGCACAUUCUACUUAUAUAUGUAACCAUAUUGCAUACAAAUGUAUAUGUAUAUGAUACAGUUAACUUAGUCAGAAUGAGGAAACUACCGGUAUGUCUGUCUCUGUCAUGUGACUUUGGGAGUUUUUAUUAUGUCUCAUAUCACAUGCUACUUUUUGACCUAGCUUACUUAAAACCAAAAAAUUAGCCUUUAUACACACAAUACAAAGAAAAUAAACCCACCCAUGAAAAUAAAUACUGUCAAAUUAUGUCAUUCAGGUUUAAAAAGUGAUUCCUGUUGAGAUUGAUUAUUGAUAUAAGUGAAGAUUAUUUAAGGGGACAUUAAAUUAUAUAUUCACAUUAACACAUGGUUGAUAGACUGUGAAUUAUUUUGUAAGAGUAAUACAGGAAGUUAAAAAUAGACAUUUUUACAACAAAUAUGGUGGUAUUUAUUAUUGGGGACCCUUUGGUUCUAACUGUUGCUGUUUAACAAAAAAAUACAAAUUUAGCAUUAUUAACUUAGCAAUAGAUAAAAAACAAAUUGUAAUGCAGAUUUUUAAUUUUAGUUUCUUGUUUAUAUUUUGGAGUUUAGUAUGACGUUCAUUAUGUUGAACUAGUAAUUUUUUGAUUAGGGGCCAGCUCAAGCACACCUCCGGGUGCGGGAGUUUCUCGCAGCAUUGAAGACCCAUUGCAGGUAGCCAUCAGCUGUUGUCUGCGCUUUGGUUGGGUUGUUGUCUCUUUAACACAUUCCCCAUUUCCAUUCUCAAUUUUAUGAUGCUGAAUAUUAUGUUUUGUGAUGAAAUUAAACAUGUAAAGGAUUUUCUGGAGAAAACUGUCUUUUAGUCUGUACAUUUGUCAUUUGUACAUCUAAUAUAUUUUUUGCCUUUAUCAAUUUGUACAUCUAAUAUAUUUUUUGCCUUUAUCAAUUUGUACAUAUAAAUACAGGCAAUCAUCCUAUAAAUCAGAAUUAGGACUGAAGACAGUAUGUUGUCUUCUUGAUGUCUUUUGUUUUUUUAUGCCCCUGUCAUUAAGUGAUCUGGGCAUAAAUUGUUACUAAUUCUGUCAUUCUGACCUUCUGAAAUAAACCAGACGUCUGGACUUUUCUUUCUGCCUGCAGAUAGUGAUCUGAUUUUGUUUCAUUAGUACAUACAUGUAUAUUGACUACUUAUAGAUCAACUUUGCCUUUUGUUCUGGUCAACUGAUUUUAUAGACAAUUAUCAGUGGCGGAUCCAGAAAUUUUCAUAAGUGGGGGCCCACUGACUGACCUAAGAGGGGGCCCGCUCCAGUCACGCUUCAGUGAUUCCCUAUAUAAGCAACCAAAUUUUUUCCCAAAAAGGGGGGGCCCGGGCCCCCUGGGCCCCCCCUCUAAAUCCGCCUAUGAUUAUGAUCAUGCUUCCAUUGACUCGGUUGCUGGGAUAAAGCCUUUUUGUUUUGAGGCGUCUUAAACAAUAAUAGAUCAACCUAUCCAUUGAUUUAUAGAAUUUCAUGUAAUUUGGAUUUGAUUUUGUUCUUUAGUAUGUGGAAUUAAUACUUAUAAAAAAGUUUUUGGGUUUCAAUCCUAUAGAACCCUUUGCACAGAUUUGCCUUUAAAAAUUGUACAUGUCAGGACUUUUUUGUAUUUGCCUUCAGAUUUAGAGCAGAUUUCAUUUUGUAUAAUGAUUAUAUAUAUAUAUAAUUACAAUAGAGUUUGCAUUUCAUUUUUGAUUUAUUGAAUUUCAUAAUUACAGGCAGCAGGCAUGGGCAUAUGGGUUGUUGAGACACAUCUAGUGAUAAGUGGGUUAUAGAGACACAUAAAGCUAUAUGUGGGUUGAGAGUUGCGACACAUCUAGUUAUAAGUGGAUGGUCAAGUAAUGUUGAGUUAGAAAUAGCUUGUUGAGGCACAUCUACAUGUAUUUAUAUGGGAGUUGCUGUAACAUUGACAUACACCCAACAUUUCCUUUUAAUCGUUGUUAAAAACUUAUAUAAGAUUUUUCUGAUAGCUCAAUUAAAAAAUGUCUAUAUCAGGGGGAAAAUAGAUGACAUAAAAUCUUACACAUCAUUUGUCAACUAUCAAUCAUAAUUAUGUCAGAUAUAGAAAUGAUUUUGACAAAAAAGAGUGACAUGUGUUUAUAGGUAUUGAUUAUUUGAACCUUUGGUGUUUAAUUAUGUUAUCAAUAUCAAUAAGGUUUGUUCAUGUCUUAACUAUAUAUAGCUAUCAUAGGGGCAACUGGCCUUGAAUUACUUUAAGAUCAUGAUAGAGAAAUUGGCUGAUUAAUUGUUCUUUGCUUACAAUGUCAAGUGGCAAACAUCUCAUGUAUUUUCAUGAUGAGAAACAAUUUAACAAAACAUAAAAAAAGUUAUUCCUGAAAAGAUGUUUGAUCGAGGUGAAGAUAAGGCCAACUAAAAUUAAUUGGUAGAUUUUCAUCCAAAUUUUUGAAAGUAAUGGGGCGGGUGGGAGGAUUUUAUUUUUUAAAUUUUAUUUCAUAUGAAACCCUUUUGUGACGAGUUCUUCAUAUAUAUAUGCAAGUGUAAUAAUAAGCUUAUAUCAUGUAUGCACAAGUAUGAGGAAUCUUACAUAAUAUUUCAAAUCCGGCUUAAAUAAAUGUAUCUAAUUGCGGCUUUAAAAACUUAACAACAAAAACGUGUGAGAAAUGCUCUCUUCAGUUAGACUACAUGUACCUACACAAAAUGUAUUUUGGUUUCUAAACAAUGGUUUGUAUUACCAUAAAAUGAAGCAAAUGCAUUGGUAUGCAACAGAAUUAUUAUGAGUACAGAAUAAAAUGAAAACACAGAUCGAGAGUGUUGAAAAUAAUAGCUAGGGUUGGUACUUUAUAUGCAAGAUGAAAAUAUAAUUAUCAUGUAAAACAUGAACUUAAUAAUAAAAAAAAGUUGUUGUUUAAUGAGUCUUUUUGGGUGUAUUGGGACAUUUGCUGUUUGUCAACAUAAAAAGACAGCCAUGGGUAAAAUCAAAGGGCUUGCAUAUAUAUAUAAAUAAAAUGCGUAUGUUAGUCGACUUUUUAAAUUCAAUAAACGGUCAUACAUCUAACAAGUUCGUGCUUGUGUUUCAAUAUUUAUAAUUCAGUCAUGUUUUCUGUAAAUUUACUGAAACAAAGUCAUUGCAUAAAUAAAAAAGUCCGCAGUUUUCUAAUCACAGAAAUUUGUGACAUACCGCGAUUUGCAGUCUUGGAAACAGCGUUUUUCUCAUAACACCAAUAUUUCAUGUCGUUCUCGUUAUCAAUCUUUACUCUCGGAAGAUGAUGUUAUCAUCAUAGAGCAGCGGAAAGGUCGACUUAAUCAUUUUGGUUAGAUUUACUCGAGGUACAAAACCGAAAUUUGAAACAGGAAGCAUUGAAUGAAACGAAAUUUUAACGGUUACCGGUAACGGGAAUGAACAAAAUCCGGAAAUCGUAAAUUUUAUAAAAUAAAAAAAUUCGGGGCGGGUCGAUUUCAGAGGGGCGGGCGGGGAUGAAAAUCUAUCAAUUAAUUUUAAUUGGCCUAAUGGCCAGCAGUUGUUUCCUUUAUGCUUUUGUAUACUUUUGGGAGGUUUUAUACUUGAUAAGUUUUUGAAGCCCCAGAAUCUCAUUAUAACAAUGCCUCACUAUAUCCUUGAUUGAUGUUAACUUUCUACUUUUGAAAUUAAUUUGAUGGUUAAACACCUCUUAAUAAAGAUAGAAUACAAAUUGGACAGAUAAAGUCCUCAACUGUAAUGAAAAACAUUGCAGACAAUACAAAUGGUGAAUUUCACAGAUCGUUAUUUGUUGAUAAUUGCAGGAGACCACAUUAUUUUAUUAUGUUAGUAAGUUUUAUGAGCCCUCCUUGAAUUGUACUGAGGUCUGAAGAACAGGUAGAAAUCCGAUAACAAGAUGAAAUUGACAAGCCUGUAUUGUAUAUUUUAUUGUUAUUAGGUGAUUCUAUAAUGAGAAGUAGACCUUUUAGUGUGCAAUUCUCAAGUUACUUAGAAAGAAAGAAUAUCUUGAGGCCGGUAAUUAUACAAAUUGCUUUAUAUAACAAAUUUAUGAUGUUCAACACAUAUCCGUUACAUCCUGGUUUUUUUCCCGUCCAUCUUAUCUCUUUUAAAUUGUUGUUUACAUUGUAUGCAUGGUUGAUACAUUAUUUUGAAUUUCAUUGUCUAAAAAAACAAUUUUGCAUUUUUUUGUUAAAAUGUCUGCAGGCCAGCAUUCCGAUUUAAAUAAUGUAUUUUGUUUAGAGAAUAUUCAAUGAUAGGUUAUCCGAUUUAUAUAAUGUACUUAUAAUAAUGUUAGAAAAAGAUACAAUGACAGUAUAUUUAAGAUUAUUUAAGAGACUGCAUCACAUUAUGCUCACUAAAAUUUACAGGAGCAUUUCAAAUGAUGAUCUUAUUAUAGUAAAGGCCACUGUACAUGAAUGAUAAUAAAACAAUGUUGAGGAUCAUGAGACUUCCAUAUACUUUUUAUUUAAUUCAAGACAUUCCUGGAUAGUCAGUUUUCUUGAUCCAUAUUAAUAACUUUGUUAAAAAUGAUAGUCUUUUACUUUUAGGUAACAAGAUCAAUUGCUGAUGCACUGCUACCAUGCCUCAUUAGAAAAAAUUUACGCAUCUCACCCAAAGAAUUGACUCUUGAGAUGUUUUUUUUUUCAGUCACUACAUAUGUUUAUUCACAGGAUGAACUCAAUAACCUUACUAGCAAUCACCCUUUGACUUUCUGUUUGAUAUUUUUUAUCAUUUAAGGGCCGGUAAGCUAAGGACAAUAAAAAUAUUUUCACAUUUGGUAAACAAAGGACCAAGUGUAAAAACACAAAUCCAGCAGUAAUUACAGGAGAAAAAUUAUACAGCAAGAUAAAUAUUUAAUAACAUCAUUGAUUUACUAUUGAUUUUUCUCUUACAGGUAGCCAGCUACAGGUAGAACCAUGGUCAUCUUAUCUAAGG